CCUCUCAAGCUUAUACUUAAUUCUCUCUUCAGCAUUAGCAAAUUUCUUCUUCUUCCUCUUGACAGUCAGACUACGUGGGUCCCUCUUAUUAGCCUCUUUUCUCUUCUGCUUCUCUCUCAUUCUCUGCAUUUUUAGCCUCUUCUUCGUCUGCCAUUUCUCCUUCUUUGGAGGAUCAACCUCGUGCCUUUCAAACUUGGGUUUCCCUUCUGAUAUCACCAGGUUUACAGUACCAUGGCUCAAGUUUCUAAACGUCCAGGAUGGGUUUGGUAGAUUCAGUGGAAUUGUGUGCCUGGACGGAAAGAAAACUGAUUCUGGGGGAUGAAAUUUUGGCCUGAGAAAUAAGGAGGUGAUAGAUGAUGUUGGCUCAGGCUUAACAAGUGAAGAAACCCAUCUCAGGCUACGAAACAAAGCUUUCGCCAUCCCAAUAUGAUGAAUAGGGGCAGAUAGAUAAAAGAGGAGAAAAGCUAGCCAAUUUCAAAAAACAAGUGGGUUAUGCAGAAACUCAAACCUC
rnacentral:misc_RNA from 1 species